rnacentral:rRNA from 1 species
CGGGUUGUAAAGCCCUGUGGGAGGGACGAAUAAGGCAAGGUGAACAAUCUUGUUGAUGACGGUACCUCCUUAGCAAGCACCGGCUAACUCUGUGC